rnacentral:rRNA from 1 species
GGACCCGCACAAGUAGUGGAGCAUGUGGUUUAAUUCGAAGAUACGCGCAGAACCUUACCAACACUUGACAUGUUCGUCGCGACUCUGAGAGAUUAGAGUUUUCGGUUCGGCCGGACGAAACACAGGUGCUGCAUGGCUGUCGUCAGCUCGUGUCGUGAGAUGUUGGGUUAAGUCCCGCAACGAGCGCAACCCUCACUUUUAGUUGCCAUCAUUUAGUUGGGCACUCUGAAAGAACUGCCAGUGAUAAGCUGGAGGAAGGUGGGGAUGACGUCAAGUCCUCAUGGCCCUUACGUGUUGGGCUACACACGUGCUACAAUGCUACGGACAAAGGGCACAAGUUUCGCGAGGAC